CUGGGAGACGAUCAGCUGCUUCAAGAUGAAACUGAGUAUCUCCUUCCCUGUCACUGGUUGCCAGAAACUCAUUGAAGUAGAUAAUGAACGCAAGCUUUGUACCUUCUGUGAGAAGCACAUGGCCACAGAAGUUGCUGCUGACACUCUGGGUGAAGAAUGGAAGGGUUACAUGGUCCAAAUCCGCGGCGGGAAUGUUAAACAAGAUUUCCCCCAUGAAGCAGGGUAUCAUGUCCACCAGUUGCUGAGUAAGGGACAUUCCUGUUACAGACCAAGAACUGAAAAAAGAAAGUGCAACCUGUUCAGGGUUGCAUUGUGGAUGCCAAUCUGAGCAUUCUUAACUUGAUUAUUGUAAAAAAAAGGAGAGAAGAAUAUUCCUGGGCAGACUGAUACUAUGGUGCCUCAUCACCUGGGGCCCAAAAAGCCUAACAGAGCCGGCAAACUCUUCAGUUUCUCUAAAGAAAAUGAUGUCCACCAAUACGGUGUAAGAAAGCUCUUAAGCAGCCGGAAAGAAGCAAAGAAACGUAGGACCAAAGCACCCAAGAUUCACCAUCUCGUUCCCUCACCACUUGUCCUGCAACACAGACACCAGUGUAUUGCUCCAAAGAAGCAGUGUACUAAGAAAAAUAAGGAAAAGACGCAGAAUAUGCUAAACUUUUGACCAAGAGAAUAAAAGAGACCAAAGAAAAACACCAGGAACAGAUGGCCAAGAGAUGCAGACUGUCCUCUCUGUGAGCUUCUACUUCCAAGUCUGAGUCUAGUAAAAAAUAUAUAUGUUUUUUUGAGUAA